GGUAAACCUGAGAAACCCAAAAGAUCGAAUGGGGAGAUUCAUCGUCAGCCGCCUUGGCUUCCGUGUGGCGCGCGAUGGCGCGGGACCUCGGUCUCGCGUCACGCCGCUGCUGCGGUAUGACCGGGGGGGUCGGCGUGCACUUCUCCCCUAGUAGGACGUCGCGACCCGUUGGGUGCCGGCCUACGGCCCGGUUGGUCGACUGACUCGUCGCUCUCGGGCGUUCACGUGUCAGACCACCGGUCGCCCGGCCGGCUGCCCGGCGGUAUAGAUUAACACAUCAACGGUAUUGGGCCGCAUCGAUCGCUUGCGAUCGCAUGCGUUCAGGCCCGUCGGCAGGCUCGUCUCGCUCGGAUUUACGGACCUAGCGCCGUUGCCGGGCGUUUGGCGUGGCUGUUAGUCGGCGGUGUCCUCGGACGGGCUCUCGUCUCUCGAGACUACCGGUCGGCGACGCUACUGCUUUUGGGUAA
rnacentral:rRNA from 1 species